rnacentral:rRNA from 1 species
GAAACUUCUUUAUCACCGAGUGCUUGCACUCACCGAUAAAGAGUUGAGUGGCGAACGGGUGAGUAACACGUGGGCAACCUGCCCAAAAGAGGGGGAUAACACUUGGAAACAGGUGCUAAUACCGCAUAACCAUAGUUACCGCAUGGUAACUAUGUAAAAGGUGGCUAUGCUACCGCUUUUGGAUGGGCCCGCGGCGCAUUAGCUAGUUGGUGGGGUAAAGGCUUACCAAGGCAAUGAUGCGUAGCCGAACUGAGAGGUUGAUCGGCCACAUUGGGACUGAGACACGGCCCAAACUCCUACGGGAGGCAGCAGUAGGGAAUCUUCCACAAUGGGCGAAAGCCUGAUGGAGCAACGCCGCGUGGGUGAAGAAGGUCUUCGGAUCGUAAAACCCUGUUGUUAGAGAAGAAAGUGCGUGAGAGUAACUGUUCACGUUUCGACGGUAUCUAACCAGAAAGCCACGGCUAACUACGUGCCAGCAGCCGCGGUAAUACGUAGGUGGCAAGCGUUAUCCGGAUUUAUUGGGCGUAAAGGGAACGCAGGCGGUCUUUUAAGUCUGAUGUGAAAGCCUUCGGCUUAACCGGAGUAGUGCAUUGGAAACUGGGAGACUUGAGUGCAGAAGAGGAGAGUGGAACUCCAUGUGUAGCGGUGAAAUGCGUAGAUAUAUGGAAGAACACCAGUGGCGAAAGCGGCUCUCUGGUCUGUAACUG